rnacentral:piRNA from 1 species
UGGUGUCUCACAUCUCAGGGAUAGGUGU